ACGGCUACAUAGAGAAAUCCUGUACCCAGAAAUCAAACGGGGGUGGGUGUGUGUAGGUGUGUGUGUGUGUGUGUGUGUGUGUAUACAUACACAGCUUUUCUUGGAAUUU
rnacentral:miRNA from 1 species